AUGAUGUAUUAAUGAGUGCAUGCUUCUCUUGUGGAUUGAUGAUAAACAUACAAUACAGCCAUGACUGCAUACCUAGCUGAAUAAAACAAGGAAAAGCUGGCUCUGAAUUACACUGCUUCAUUCUGGAAUAACAAUACACUAUACACACACACAUGUACACACAUAAAUGUGUAUGUAUAUUCUAGUUUGUGAAGCUGAUAUAAAUUGGAACAGUUAAGACUGAUUUUGAAAACAUGUACACUACUUCUCCAGAGCUUUGCCUUGUGAGAAAUACCCCACAAAAAAGCCUAAUGCUUUUUUCUUGUGCAAAUUGCUGUCAUUGUUAUAGGCAGUCUGAAAAGGAAGUUAUGCACAUCUGCUUGUUGCAGAGUGUUUAACAAACCAUAAUAUAGAAGGAAAAAGGGAAAAUAUAAUCUGGGAUUCAGAAAAUUACAAGGAUGAAAUUAAUUGAUAUUAUACAUGAAACUACUGCCAACUACGUGACAAAUGUAUAAAAAUCAUUCCGUGUUUUAAUUAUUCAAAUGAAUGCUGGAAAAUAUUUUCCGUUGGUUUUCAGAAAUAUGCCAUGGUAUAAGUUGGAGGGUUGGUUUUCUUUCAAUCUUGGACCAAUCUCGUUUAGUUAAAAAUAUUAUUGAUAAACUCAGUUGCUAAUAUUUGCAUUGGAUUUUAUUUCCUAUCGUUAUUAUACCUGUAUCCUAUCAUUUUUCCAUCGAUUUAAGAAGCAUAAAAUUUGUGCAUUAUUAUAGUUUAGUACAAUUCUAUUUUCCAGGAUGGUUGCUUGUGUGGGAAAUUGAUUUUGUUCAUUCACCAUGUGCCAGGUUGUUGUAGUAGCAUUUAUAACAUGGGUGGCUUGGUUCACCCUAGGAGAACUUGGCAGCUACCCGAAACAUUGGAUGCCAAAAGGCAUGGAUGGAUUUGAGCUUGCACUGCAGUUUGCAAUUUCAGUGCUGGUGGUGGCUUGUCCAUGUGCUCUGGGACUAGCAACCCCUACAGCGGUUAUGGUGGCCACAGGGAAGGGUGCUUCGCUAGGUGUGCUCAUCAAGGGUGGAAAUGCACUUGAGAAGGCGCACAAGGUAACACCACUAUUUUCUGCUAACUACUAGGGAUGAACAAUAGGGAUUUGGAUUUGAUAUUAAAGUUCAGUGUUUAGUACUUUGUUGAACAAAAAAAAAAUGGAAAAGACCCACCGAUAAGUCUGGUUUGGGGCUCAGGAAAAUAGAAAAAUGGGCAUGUUUUCUCUUGGUAUCAAGGAAACAUAGAUAUGUGAAAUGGACCUUGACAGCACAGAGUACUGGAUGUUUGCAGCACAGAGAUUGCUAAUUUAAUUUAUUUAUGCCAUACUCCUUUUUUUAGGGACUGCUUUCCUGGAUCUCAGCUGGUUGUCAAUGCCCCAUGUAACUCAUAUUAGUAAAUGACUAAACAACAUAGCAUAUAGGCACUGUGGUAUUAAGAAGUAUAUGCUUCAUCUAACCAUGGCUCCUCCAUUUUCAUGAUUUGUUGUUCCCUAUUAAAACAAAUAGUCUUUGUUGAGAAUAUAAUCUACAUUUCUCUGAAAUGAAUUGAGUCUGUUUUAAAAUUCUCUGUGGGUUGCUUCUAAGAUUAUAUUCCAACGGGAGAAAAUGACCCUUUCUUGAAAAGGCUAUUACCUUUGUCCAAAAUAAAACAAUUUGAUUUUUUUUUUUCUUUUCUAGUGGGAUGCCUAGGUCAGUUUAAAAUACUUUUUACUGACUUUAGCUUAAAGCUAAAGUCAUGAUUUCAAAGGAGCAAUCAUAGUAUUACAAAGGUUCCAUUAAAAAUGAAACUUCUUUCUGCAUAAGCUAAAAAAAAAAAGCUUUCACAAGAAGUAACAUUGUCAUUGCUUCCAUGUUAUGCUCGUCUUUAAGCCAGAAGCUCUUUUAAUUAAAUUACCCAAAAACACACUCAGAAGCUUUUAUUGUAGAAAAAAAGGGGGAAAAAAAAGAGCUUUUGACUCACAAGCUUAUCUAAAUAGCCUUAUUUUCUUUUUGGAAACUAUCUAGAUUAUGCUUGUCUUAUUCUCAUCAUUCCAUGCAUCAUUUCACUAAGAUUAGCAGCCCAUUAUCAUAUGCAUUAUGACAAACAGCUACUCUUUUUGUCUUUUUCUUGAUUUUUAACUGAGCAUUAUUGUUUGAUCCUUCAGGUGAAAACAAUUGUCUUUGAUAAGACAGGGACGCUGACAGUAGGAAAACCAGUGGUUGUUAGUGCAGUGCUCUUUUCCAGUUUUUCGAUGGAGGAAUUCUGUGACAUGACUACUGCUGCAGAGGUGAGUUGAACGUAUUUAGAAUUCUGUUUUGGUUUGAAAAUUUUGGUAUUUUAGUUCAUUUUUUUUUUUAAUUUCAGGAACCAAUUAGGUAGAUGUUGUAAAAGUAGGUCUGAAAGGUAGUUGCAACAAAAAUGUUCUGCAAUCAUUGCAAAUAAUUCAGAACAAAAUAAUUGAAAUUUCAAGUUUUAGUUUUCCUUUUAAAGAAAAAUAUAUGUUUUCUUUUUCUGGUGUUUGUUGUUGUUGGCUCAAAGCAAUCCAUGAAAAAGAAAAGAAAAGAAUGUCCUGACAACAUGCCUUUUUUUUUUUUUCUGAGUAUAACCGGAAUUUCAUGAAUAAUUUGAGAAAUGUAUGCACACUGCAUAUGAUAUUUCUGAGUUGGUUAUUUGCUUGGCAAUAGAAUUUACUAAUGCAUGCAUAGUUGAAAAGCAAUGUAUAUGUAUGGAUUCAAGAUGUUUUGCAGAUUCUUUAUGCUGCGGAUUGAGAACAUAUAAAGUUGAUUUCUCCAUGUUUUCCUUCCACCUUCAGGCAAAUAGUGAGCAUCCAUUAGCAAAAGCUGUAGUGGAGUAUGCUAAGAGACUGCGCCAGAAGUUUGGCCCUCAAACGGAACAAAUGACAGAUAUUAAGGAGUUUGAGGUGCACCCAGGAGCUGGGGUUAGCGGAAAAGUUGGUGACAAAUUAGUCUUGGUUGGGAACAAGAGGCUUAUGCAAGAUUCUAGUGUGCCAGUUAGUCCUGAGGUUGAGAACCACAUUGCAGAAACUGAGAAUCUGGCUCGCACGUGUGUGCUAGUGGCAAUUAAUGGAAAGGUUGCUGGAGCUUUUGCUGUGACUGAUCCAGUGAAGCCGGAGGCUGGGCGUGUAAUAUCUUUUCUCCACUCGAUGGACAUCUCAACUGUCAUGAUGACUGGUGAUAACUGGGCUACAGCAACCGCUAUAGCAAAGGAGGUUGGAAUUAAGGAGGUGUAUGCUGAGACAGACCCACUGGGGAAAGCCGAAAGGAUUAAAAAUUUACAGGUAUGCUCAUUUUCAUACUCCAGGGUGUGGAUUCAUCAACAUAUUGCUUUUUAAGUUAGCAUCCUCCUAUCCAUAAAAAAUUUCCGCUAGAUGAUAGGAGUACCUUGUUUUAACUAUUUAUAUGAAAAUUGAAUGCAGAUGAAAGGGAUGACCGUGGCAAUGGUGGGUGAUGGAAUAAACGAUUCCCCAGCUUUGGUUGCAGCUGAUGUUGGCAUGGCAAUUGGUGCAGGGACUGAUGUAGCUAUAGAAGCAGCUGACAUAGUUCUUAUCAAGAGCAACUUGGAAGACGUAAUCACAGCGUUAGACCUCUCCAGAAAGACAAUGUCAAGGAUCCGGCUGAACUAUGUUUGGGCCCUUGGCUACAAUGUGCUCGCCAUGCCAGUAGCCGCUGGAAUCCUGUUCCCCUUAGAUGGAAUCCGCAUACCACCUUGGCUUGCUGGUGCUUGCAUGGCUGCUUCAUCCGUGAGCGUGGUUUGCUCUUCUCUCCUGUUGCAGUCUUACAAGAAACCUUUGCAUGUUGAAGAUGCUCGAGAUGUAAGUCACAACUCGAAUUCCAAAUGAAACCAACCUCAUGUCAAUCCGCCUUCAGGAUGAAGACACAAGCACUUGUGGAUAAAUAAAUUCCUCUAUUCUUCUGCCAGAUGGGGCUAGAGGUGUGUCUCCAGAAUUUCUUACACUGCAUCUUAUCAAGAACUGUGAGCGCUUUACAUCUUCCAGGUUACUGAAAUAAAUAGUAUUACAAUCUAGCAACAUUGUUAACAUUGUAAACCUAACAAUGUUUCUUCCCAGUUUACAAUUUUGAAGAUCAUCAGAUUGUGAACUGAUUGAAACACCAUCUUUUUGAGGAAUAGAAACGUUAAUCCUCGUGAAGUUAUGUAUGGGAAACUUUUCAAAUUUAGAAUUACUUAUGAGGGAGGUGAAAUUUUGUUAUUCUGAUUUUAUCUACUUAUUUGUGAUGUCCCACGUUGUUUAGGAGAAUAAAUUUCUUGUACUAUGUAUAUCAUUGCUAUUAUGAGAUAAUUGCAAGAAAAAAAAAUAGUAAAUUUAUUUAUCUUUCUAACAAAAUGAAAUACUAAUAUAAAUUCACAAAUUAAAUAAGAGAAAUAAUUUUGAAUUAUCAUAAUUUUUUAUUGCUGAUGUGGAAUCUUGCACGCCACAUCAGUCACCACGUGUAAAAGAAUAACAGCCCAAAGCAUUCUCCUGACUUCACCAAAGAUCUUUGUCUCGAUGUUGACGUGGGAAACAACCAUCGAAUUAAAUGGACUAAUAUGUGACUUCAAGUCGGAGAUGUAAAUUCUCAUUUUUCAACGACCAAUAAGAAUUCAAUAGGUUUCUCACCUGACUCAUCGUCGACUCAGUUUUCAUCUUCCCUUUCAGCACAUUUCUCUCUCUCUCUCUCUCUCUUUCUCAACUCUUUCAAACCCCUGUUCUUGUAAAAUCUCCGUUGUAGAUCAUCAAAUGGUAAGCUUGAUGGAAUUUGCGUUUUUAAUGAAAAAAUUGGUUCAAUUUAAUCAUUAAUUGUUGUGUACUUUUCCAGGGGAAAGUUCUUUGCGUUAGUUGGAAAUUUUCCUGGGGAAAUUCGUGGAUUCGAACUUUUUUGGGGUUUUGGAUAAGCCUCGACUGUGCGAUAUGCGUAAGAAAGUUUGAAUCCUUUUAGGGCUUUUUUUUUCUAUUUAAUUUGAAGGGUUUCUGUUUCUAAUCAGUAAUUUCAGAAGCAAAGUUGUGAGGCGUUUGUUUAUUUCUUAGUUUUUGGGUUACUCAUCGGUUUGGUUGGUGGAAAAUGGUGGAAAAGUAAAGAAUAGAGAUUCAAUAUAUAUAUAUUUUUCCGUUGUUUUUUUUGGGGGUGGGGUUUAAGCCAAGUAGUUGUAUUAAGAGUGGAAUUUUUGUGUUUUUUUUUCUUUCUUUUGUUCUAGAUAUGGAAAUUUUAAGAUUUGAAGGUUGAUUGUUUCCCUUUUCCCUCCAUUUUUCGUACUUCAGAUUAGGGGUUUGGAACCUAGCGUGAGAAGAUGGAUAAUUCAGGUAUGAGGGGUGGGUUUUUGUCGGGUGCGAGUGCGGGAAUUUUAGACGUUGAAACUUCUAUUCAGAGGCACCAGCAGGCCCAGAUGAGUAUUCCACCUCAUACCCAUCACCAUCACAUGAAUGUGAUGACUGGCUUUGAGAAUGAUCAUUGUCCCAUGGAAGCCAAGGGCUCAACCCCAAAGGGUAUUCCUAUAAAUUAUGGUAAAGGGAAGGUGAUUGCUCCUGUUAGUGUUGCAAAUAAUGACAAUAGCAAUACUAGCGACGAGGAUGAGCUAAGUUACACAGAAGAUGGGAGCAGUGAGAACUUCGGUGGGGUGAAGGGUAAAAAGGGCUCUCCAUGGCAGCGAAUGAAAUGGACAGAUAAUGUGGUGAGACUUCUUAUAGCAGUGGUUGCUUGUGUUGGGGAUGAUGGUACCCUUGAGGGUGUGGAAGGACUGAAGAGGAAAUCAGGAAUUUUGCUGAAGAAGGGUAAAUGGAAAACCGUCUCUAAGUUAAUGAUUAGUAAGGGUUGUUGCGUUUCACCUCAGCAGUGCGAGGAUAAAUUUAAUGACUUGAACAAGAGAUACAAGAGGUUGAAUGAAAUUCUUGGGAGGGGAACUACUUGUAGAGUGGUGGAAAACCCUGCACUAAUGGACUCCAUGCCCCCAACUAUCUGCUAAGAUGAAGGAUGAUGUGAAAAAAAUAUUGAGCUCAAAGCAUUUGUUUUAUCAGGAAAUGUGUGCUUACCAUAAUGGUAAAAGCAUAUCAAAUUGUCAUGAUGUUGAUCUACAAGGUUAUUUUUCACCUCUUGCCAGAAGUUCAAAGGAUAAUAAUGGUUCUGAGGAGGAAGAAGCUGAGGAAAAUGAGGACUUUGAUUUUGACGAUUUGGAUAAUGAAGAGUAUGAUAAUGCUGAUGGGCAUGCACAGAGUAUGGGGGGGUUUCAUCAAAGGAGGAAAGUGAAUCAAGAGGAUAGCAAUGCUUGGCUACAGUAUGCUGGUCGGGAUAGUUUUGAAGUGGAAAUGGCUGGGAUUUUUGAAGACCCCGCCAAGUCUCCGUGGGAGCAGAAAGAGUGGAUAAAGAACCGGAUGCUGCAACUUCAAGAGCAAAUGGUCACCAUCAUGGCUCAAGGUUUUGAGCUUGAGAAACAACGCUUUAAGUGGUUGAGAUUCAGCAGCAAGAAAGGCAGGGAUCUGGAGGAUUCGAGGCUGGAGAAUGAGAGGAUGGGAUUGGAGAAUGAGCGAUUGGUCUUGGAAUUGAAGCAGAAGGAAUUGGAAUUAGAUUUAAAGGGUCCAGAAGCAUCCUUGGAUCCAGCUUCUUUUUGCAUUGACGGGCUACAAGGAAGAGAUCAGAUUGAAUUGGGCAGGCAUCAGUAGCUCCUGUGUACUACUAGUUGCUGUUAGAAUCAUGUGUGGGAUCCUACUAAUCCAUUAUGCAAGAAAACCAUAGAUGCUUAAGUGUAAGAAAUGCAUUAACCUCAUAAGUGACUUAUAUUGCUUUAGAUUUUAUUGUAGGAACAUAUAAAAUUCUCAUUUUUUGCAAAGGUUUCUGCCUUAAAGUUGAUGAUCCCUUUUUUCUCCACCUUGGACCUAUCUUGUUCUCCAGACCAUGUAAAAGAUGUUUGAGUUCUUGUGAUUACCUGAUUGAGUUUUGAAACUGUCUUUUUUUCCCUUUUUUGGCUGAAAUAUGUAACAGUCGAAGCUUUGCACUCUUUUUCUGUAAUUUCAGAAUUGGUGGUUCAAAAGGGCCUCUGAAAAACUUCAAUUGAAUCCAGAUAUUUGUAUAGCAUUUAGUUUGCUUGUUUUAUCUGGUGGAUAGUAUCUUUCUUUAAGACCCUCUCAAAUAUAUUUUUCUUGUUGUGUCAUUUCAUUUUGUUUGCUUGAUUGUUAUUGGAUUCAGAAUUCUGAUUCAUUCUCUACUAGCAUUGCAGUCUCUAUUAUAAUUAUGGUUAAACUCUCUGUUUGCUAGAAGUUGCUUUGUGCUUCCCAACACCCAUGCUAUAAAAGGUCUCUGAAAAUUUUCGAGUUAGCAAUUUAGUUCUUGUAACUUCUCGACAUGUUCAUUUUCAUCCUGUCCAUGGUCAUAUUGGAUUUGGGCUGGGUCGAAAGAGGAUUAGAGUCACCUAGAGUAUACAGAGAGAGGCACUUUCCAUUCUACCUUGUCAAAUGGCAUUGGUAAUACAAUUUAGAAGAAACCUGGUCAUUAGCCUUACUGGGUCAUGAGUUCCUGUUUUCUGCGCAAAAUCUUUAUUGGUAUUACCUGAGUUCUCGGUUUUGAUCUUGUAUUUUGUGACUUCCAAACAAGAUCCUUUUGAGGUGAAGAAGGAAAAGAAAUGAGUUUAGAUGAAGCAGAAAAGGAAUAACAUUCAAGGAAGGGCAAGUAGUUCUUCACAGAGAAAGGGAGAGAGAGGGAGGAGAUAGAGAAUGCAACAGAUAAAGCCACCAAGCUCAUGCUGAUCUCAAGGAAGGCAGAAAUGCCCUCAACGUCGUGUAUAGUUCUUUUCUCUGCAUGCAAGUGACUGUCCUUGGUGCGAUCACUUUUUUCUUUGAUGAAGGUCUCCCUUACAUUGAACAAUAAAUAAACGCAUUCCAAUGAAAUCUUUUCACUUUGAUUGGUAGGCGGACCCUGUUUGGUUGUAUAUGUUUGAAUGAUCCUUCCAAUUGACCAUGAAUGUAGUGUUUAAUUCCUGAAUGAUAACGGGUCUGGUUGAUGAUUUUUUGGGUCAAAUGAAUACAAAGAAAAUUAAAAUUGGGGUGGAUUAAAGGAAUAUGCAAAUUUGAAAUUUAUGAAACAAGGUGCAUUAAAAAAAUAUUCGCCCAAUAAACAAUAGUCAAUGCUAAGUAGUUAAAAGAUCAUAAUUGAGAAUUAACGAGCCUUUAUAUUUGAAAUUAAUGUCAACUAGUUGUUACAAAUAUUUUCUAGAAGCUUCGGUUGACCGUGUGGUUGAUCACUUAGCCAGUUGUUAGGCAUUUAAAUACAUUGUAGAUCUUUUGAAGCAUUCGAGGGACCAUCGUUGCAAUUGUCAACAGAAUCGACCGUUCCGAUAUUUCCCCUUUAAAUGUAAAUAUGAAGCAUGCGGCAUGCGGACGGAGAUGACAAUUCAAUGGCAGCCUAGUAGGUUAUUAAAAUUAAAAAUAAUUUCCAUUUAAAAAAAAAUCAAGAGGAAAUGUGUCAGCUUCCAAUUGGUUGGAGUAGAGAUGGCAAAUUUUUCAUCCUCCACCGAGCAUUUGGUCAAAGCCGCCAUUGUGCGCGCCAACCACGUUAUUCUAGUCUUCAUAGAUUUUUAAAAGAAGCGACCAUAAAAUCUUUUUAUUUUAAUUUAAUAAUUGAUAAUGAAAUUGGUUGUGAAAUCAUUUUUUUUUUCCUAAUCACAAAAACGAAAAAUUAAUAUUAAUUUUUUUUACAUCAUAUUUUAAUACUAUUUAUACAUUAUUUUAUGAAAUGAUUAUUCAAAUAUUAUUUUUAGAAUAAAUUAUAUAUUUAAAAAUAUUUAAUUAAUUUAUGUAUAUAUAUAUAUUUAUUAAAUGACUUCUUUUACCCAUUUUAAAAUAAUUUAUUUAAUAUUUGGAUAUAAUUUUCUAUUGACAUUCCUUUAAAAAAAAUUAUAGGAAAUAUAUAAAUUAUAAUUAAUUGAUUUCCCUUUCAAGAUUAACAAUUUGAUUUGAAACGUUCAAAAUCUAAGAAAAAUGGAAAAGCAAUUUUCACAUCCCUAAAACAGACACCCACCAACGAACUUUUCAACCAUUCAAAAUUGGGCCCUAGAUAAAGGGAUCACCAGUCAAAAUCAGAGAACUUUCCAAAAGGGCCCACCUCAACUCCCAUCACCGUCCAUCACGCACCACCUUCCCCCAGUCCAACGCUCUCAAAUCCACUCACACCAUUUCCACCACUCCAUCACAGAUAUACCCCAUUGUUCCUCGAUACCCUCCACUUUAAAUAGCAGCUCCUCUUUCGCAGAAGCCCUCUCUUCUGCUUUCUCCAUACAUUCAGCCGCAAAUCAGGUGACCUCUCUCUUUCUCUCUCUACUGUCUCUCACUAGGAACUGCGUUUCCAUUGCUGAGAUCCGCAUGAUCUGAUCCGUUUCCUGUUUUGUGUUUGUUUUUUCUGCUUUUUUUUUUCUCCUGCAUUUUAUGGAUUUGUAGUUAAAUCGAUUCAGAUCUGUUGUAUUUUGAUUGUGGGACGUGUUUUUGUGCUCUCUUUAGAUCUGUGUGUUUUAGGAUUCAGAUUUGUGGCUUAAAAGGUCCGUUUUUAGUUUAAUUUUAUUUGGUGUUGAUCUGGUGAUGUUGACUGUGUACUUUGGAUCUGACUGGGACUUUUUUUUGUUGUUUUUGUCAUGGUUUCCGUUUGAUGUAUACAUACAUACAUAUAUAGUCUAUGUAUAUAUAUACAUGUGUGUAUGUUGCUCUUUUUGGAAUGAAAUAGUGAUGUAGAUUUAGUUGGUGUUCAUGUUGUGGAGAUGUAGAUAUGGAUUUUUGAAAAGUUACAUAGAUUAAAAGAAAAUGGUUUCUAGAAAUGUGGAUAGGGUUCUGCAGGGGUGCUCGAACUUGGCCUGCAAAAUCAGGAGGCUUGAAUAAAUAGGCUUGAGAUCUGCUGGCUGAUCUCACUUCAAUUUCGGUAGAGCUUCAAAUUAGGCUCAUCACAAGUUGCUUGGUUGGGAUUGGAAUGCUCAUGACUCCAAAUAAUAGGUUUGGUUAGGGUUUUAAGAUCUUUUUGUCUCGUGCACUAUCUAAAUUCAACUUUUCAUUGCGUUCAUCUUAGUUUAUUAAUUGGUUGUAGAGUGCACAUAUGUCCAUUACUAGGCUUCUUGAUAUUUGAUUUUGAAAAAUCAACAGACCUCCGAAAUUGGGUUGGCUUGGAUUUCGGGUGGUUUUGUCUAUAGAUAUUUAAGAAUAUGAGGUCUAUUUUAUUUUCUCAUUUUAAUUUUAAUUUUGGUUGAAAAUAUGUUUUGAAAAUGUGUUUUUUAAACUUGUGUUCCAUCUCUUCAUCUUUGCUGAUGUUAAAAGAUCACAUUUAAAAUAAGGGGAUGUAGAAUGAAAACUGAAGUUCGGAUGUAUAGAAUUGCAUGGAGAUUAAUUAUGUUUUAUUUAGUCAAUUACAAUUCUGGAUGAUGCUGUGUAGGAUUAGACUAAUUUGGAUUUUGAAUACAGAGCCUUGAUUGGGAGUUCAUGAUAGUGAUUUAGACUUGUUACAUGGUACAGGAUUUAAUCUUUGUUCAUUGGUUGGAGAUAUUUUAUAUGAAAUUCUAAUUUUUACUUUAUUUUUGCUUUCGCCCCUUUACUUAAUUUCCAUUUAAUGAUGGGUCAGUGCUUUUGUUUGUUCCUUUUAUGAUGGCAAUAUUGUUUCUGAUGUAGUAUUACCUCCCUUAGCUUAGCAAAGAUUUCUGCACCAAAUAUUGUCCACAUACAGCUUCAUUAUUGGGGUUAAUUAUCUUAUGAAUCUUAACUUAAUCUUCCAAUAUCUUUUAAGUCCUUUAUGCUUGUUGAGAAAUUUUCUUGUAAUAAUACUAUUUUUGGAUUUUCUAAGGUGUUGUUUCUGUUUACAGUGAGCUCUAUGCUUCAUGUAAUACCAUGUUUUUUUUUUGGUGUUUCUUAGUUGACACCCUUGCUUGGGUUUUUCUCCAUUUCUAUCCCUGAUUUUUAGGUCUUAUAGAUUAAUUAAAUUUAUUAAUUACUCGUGCAUGCACACACACACACACACACAUACAUAUAUAGAUUAAUUAUGCAUGCAAUCUCACAUUCUUGGUCAUUUUAAUAUACAUACAUAUGUGUGAGUUAUUAGUCUAUGUGUCUGUGUAGAUGUAUGGAUAGCUAGAUGGAUAUUUAGGUCUAAUAAAUUCAUUGAUAGAUAUUUCUUAGUUGACACCAUUCCUUGCUUGGGUUUUUAUUCAUUGCUAUCCCUGAUCUUUUGGUCUGAUAGAUUAAUUAAUUACUCAAGCAUUCUUGGUCAUUGCUCUUGGGUUAUGUGACUCUUAAUGUGCUAAUAUUCUAGUGAACACCAGAAAGGAACUGAUAUUUAUAACAAGGAAAUGGAUCCAGUGUAUAAUCUGUACUACAUAAAGCAACCACAGGUGACAGGCCCCAAAUAAUAGUUCUGUUUAUGAAUGCCUUUCUUCUCUAAGUAACCCCAUGAAACUGUUUUAUCAUUCUUCUACAUCAAUGGUUUGAUUCAGUUCUUUGUCAUUCUUUUGUAUUCUUAUUUUUAAUGCCUAACUAUUGAAUCUUUCUGGAUUUAUUUUUUCUAGCAAUAUUUUCAUACGAGUUUAAAACUGACCAUUUUUGCAGGGGUUUGAUUUGAAGGCAAAAUGGCUGAAAGGCACCAGCACCCAAAUAUUAUGCGGAAGGUAGCUGGUCAGCUCCAUCUCAGUUCCAGCAUUUCCCAAGAUGUUCAUACUCACUAUGGCAGUUUCCAAAGUCCUGCUCUGUACCAGAGGCGUUCUGCCUUUGGAAAUUAUUCUAAUGUGGUAUUGCAGUAUCCCAUGACCCAGUCAUGUCAAGCUACCCAAGAUCUGUCAUUGAUUGCCUCAACUGCUUCACCUGUGUUUGUUCAAGCCCCCCAGGAGAAAGGUUUUGCCAGCUUUGCUGUCGAUUUUCUUAUGGGAGGAGUUUCUGCAGCUGUGUCUAAAACAGCAGCUGCUCCAAUUGAGCGUGUGAAGCUUUUGAUCCAAAACCAGGAUGAAAUGAUUAAGGCUGGACGGCUUUCUGAACCCUAUAAGGGAAUUGGAGAUUGUUUUAGCCGAACAAUCAAAGAUGAAGGAUUUGCAUCAUUAUGGAGAGGGAACACGGCUAAUGUCAUCCGUUACUUCCCAACUCAGGUUUAUUAUAUUUCUUGGAUUAUUGAGAAUUGGUGUAUUUUCUCCUCUUGCUUCUGUCACUUACAUUUUGUGCUUAUUAAAUCUAAAUUCUUCUCCAGGCAUUGAACUUUGCUUUCAAGGAUUACUUUAAGAGACUGUUCAACUUUAAGAAGGACAGGGAUGGUUACUGGAAGUGGUUUGCUGGUAACUUGGCAUCUGGUGGUGCUGCUGGUGCUUCUUCCCUACUCUUUGUCUAUUCCCUUGAUUAUGCCCGAACCCGUCUUGCAAAUGAUGCAAAAGCUGCAAAGAAAGGAGGAGGAGACAGGCAAUUCAAUGGCUUGGUUGAUGUCUACAGAAAGACUCUCAAAUCAGAUGGGAUUGCUGGGCUUUACCGAGGAUUCAACAUCUCAUGUGUUGGUAUCAUUGUGUACCGUGGUCUCUAUUUUGGAAUGUACGAUUCUCUGAAGCCAGUGAUCCUGACUGGAAAGCUACAGGUUAGUAGAUUACUCUGCAGAGUCAUCUUGUUUUACACAUGUUAUGUGGUUAACACAAUUUCUGAUCCCAAGCCCCCAAAAUUGUUUUAGAAAGUACAUAAAUGAAUCUUAGUAUCUUAGUCACAUACUCUGUUUUGAUGCAAACUUAGAAGGUUCAUACUGUUACUAUGCAUGAUUUAAAUAGUCUGGAAAAAUUAUAAACUAAUCUACUGAUUCGACCCAUAGAAUAAUGCAUUAAACAUGUAUAUAAAAAAUACAACAUUGAGUUUACUCGAGCAAAUAUUGAAACGAUGGAGUAUAUUGUUUGAGUAGAAUAUUACACCUUGUCAUCUGCUACCCAUGUUGAUUUUCCAUGUAUUUAUUUUUUUAUGGUUUUUUUGUUGUCAUUUGAGAUUUCACUUUGUGAAUCAAUUUCAACUUUUUUCCGUGUUUGGAUGAUUUCAGGAUAGUUUCUUCGCUAGCUUUGCUCUUGGUUGGGUUAUCACAAACGGUGCAGGCCUCGCCUCCUAUCCAAUUGACACAGUCCGCAGAAGAAUGAUGAUGACAUCAGGUGAAGCCGUGAAGUACAAGAGUUCCUUGGAUGCAUUCAAUCAGAUCCUUAAGAAUGAGGGUGCGAAAUCUCUCUUCAAGGGUGCUGGUGCAAACAUUCUUCGUGCAGUUGCUGGUGCCGGUGUGCUUGCUGGUUAUGACAAGCUUCAGGUGCUUGUGUUGGGAAAGAAGUAUGGUUCCGGUGGAGCCUAAGUAAGACCAUCAUUUCAUGCUACUCCUUACACCCUUUAGUUCUCUCUAUAGAUGGUGAUGAAAAUCAUUUUUGAGUUAUUAAUCUAAGAAUUCAUCCAAACCAAUUUUUAAGCAUUUGAAUAACAUAGCUUAGGAGGGGGUUUAUGACCCAAACAUUGUUCCUCAUUA
rnacentral:lncRNA from 1 species